UUGCUAUGCGGUUGCUAGGGUACUCGGGGUGGUUGCUAGGGCGGUUGCUAGGGUACCCAGGGUGGUUGCUAAGGUGUUGCUAUGCGGUUGCUAGGGUAACCGGGGUGGUUGCUAGGGUGUUGCUAUGCGGUUGCUAGGGUAACUGGGGUGGUUGCUAGGGUGUUGCUAUGUGGUUGCUAGGGUACUCGGGGUGGUUGCUAGGGCGGUUGCUAGGGUACCCAGGGUGGUUGCUAAGGUGUUGCUAUGUGGUUGCUAGGGUAACCGGGGUGGUUGCUAGGGUGUUGCUAUGCGGUUGCUAGGGUACUCGGGGUGGUUGCUAGGGCGGUUGCUAAGGUACUUGGGGUGGUUGCUAGAGUGUUGUUAGGCAGUUACUAGUUGUCACAGAUCAUUACUAUGGAGUUUUAUAGAGUUCUUAGCCUGAUUUAACACUUAGCUAAUCACUAUUAGCAUGUAGCUCUUCACUGCUAGCAUGACUAGCAUCUUAAGGAUUCCUAUUUCCUAGCAUGAACCAAAAGAACCAAGUCCCUUGUCUCUACGAUGUUCUGAUGUAGAGAUAUAGGACUUGCUAGAUGGUUGCUAGGGUACUCUGUUUGGUUGCUAGGGAGUGGCUUGGCAGCUACCAAUGAUGACACUCCAAAGGCUGCUUGUCGGUAUGAAUGAUAUAGAUCAACCCCCAUGUCCCCAUGACAUUCAGAUUUGAAGAUAUGUCUGUGUGGGUUUCGUUGCUAGGGUGCUCGAUAGUGGUUGCUAGGGCGUGGCUAGGAAGUGUGUAUGGUGAUUCAUGAUUGGCUGUUAACUGCCCUGAGUCAAAUGAGCCCACCCCCGUGUCUCUAUGACACUGUGACCCAAAGAUAUUCAUCUGGGCUUUUAUAAUGGCAGUCUAUGGGAUCAGUUGCUAGGGUGCUCUAAAUGGUUGCUAGGGCGUGGCUUGACGGCUUCACAGUGAUCCUGAGAGUCUGAUUGGUUGGCUGAGUUAAAUGAGCCCUCCCCCAUGUCUCUAUGACAUCCUGAUCCAGAGUUAUGUUCAAUGCAAAAUUCCUAUGUAAAUUACCAUAGUAGGAAAAACACAUGCUUUUCAUGGGCCGUCCCUCCCCAUAGUAUGUCAAUGGGGCCACUUUGGGGGGCUCUUGCGCCCCAGGGGUACAACUUAUAGCCCACUGUGAGGUA